rnacentral:rRNA from 1 species
UUUAUGGAGAGUUUGAUCCUGGCUCAGGAUGAACGCUGGCGGCGUGCCUAAUACAUGCAAGUCGAGCGAACGGACGAGAAGCUUGCUUCUCUGAUGUUAGCGGCGGACGGGUGAGUAACACGUGGAUAACCUACCUAUAAGACUGGGAUAACUUCGGGAAACCGGAGCUAAUACCGGAUAAUAUUUUGAACCGCAUGGUUCAAAAGUGAAAGACGGUCUUGCUGUCACUUAUAGAUGGAUCCGCGCUGCAUUAGCUAGUUGGUAAGGUAACGGCUUACCAAGGCAACGAUGCAUAGCCGACCUGAGAGGGUGAUCGGCCACACUGGAACUGAGACACGGUCCAGACUCCUACGGGAGGCAGCAGUAGGGAAUCUUCCGCAAUGGGCGAAAGCCUGACGGAGCAACGCCGCGUGAGUGAUGAAGGUCUUCGGAUCGUAAAACUCUGUUAUUAGGGAAGAACAUAUGUGUAAGUAACUGUGCACAUCUUGACGGUACCUAAUCAGAAAGCCACGGCUAACUACGUGCCAGCAGCCGCGGUAAUACGUAGGUGGCAAGCGUUAUCCGGAAUUAUUGGGCGUAAAGCGCGCGUAGGCGGUUUUUUAAGUCUGAUGUGAAAGCCCACGGCUCAACCGUGGAGGGUCAUUGGAAACUGGAAAACUUGAGUGCAGAAGAGGAAAGUGGAAUUCCAUGUGUAGCGGUGAAAUGCGCAGAGAUAUGGAGGAACACCAGUGGCGAAGGCGACUUUCUGGUCUGUAACUGACGCUGAUGUGCGAAAGCGUGGGGAUCAAACAGGAUUAGAUACCCUGGUAGUCCACGCCGUAAACGAUGAGUGCUAAGUGUUAGGGGGUUUCCGCCCCUUAGUGCUGCAGCUAACGCAUUAAGCACUCCGCCUGGGGAGUACGACCGCAAGGUUGAAACUCAAAGGAAUUGACGGGGACCCGCACAAGCGGUGGAGCAUGUGGUUUAAUUCGAAGCAACGCGAAGAACCUUACCAAAUCUUGACAUCCUUUGACAACUCUAGAGAUAGAGCUUUCCCCUUCGGGGGACAAAGUGACAGGUGGUGCAUGGUUGUCGUCAGCUCGUGUCGUGAGAUGUUGGGUUAAGUC